rnacentral:rRNA from 1 species
UACGUAGGGCGCAAGCGUUGUCCGGAAUUAUUGGGCGUAAAGAGCUCGUAGGCGGCCUGUUGCGUCCGCUGUGAAAUCCCGGGGCUCAACCCCGGGCCUGCAGUGGAUACGGGCUGGCUGGAGGCAGGCAGGGGAGAACGGAAUUCCUGGUGUAGCGGUGAAAUGCGUAGAUAUCAGGAGGAACACCUGUGGCGAAAGCGGCUCACUGGACCAUAACUGACGCUGAUGCACGAAAGCUAGGGGAGCAAACAGG